AUCCCUGAAUCCGCAGUUGUUAAUGGAGUUCUCCAGGUUCCUGCUUCGAUUAUUGCCAAGGGGGUUGUGCAGCUAGAAUCGGCCAUGGUUACUCAGUUCCUUGGUCCUCCUCCUUCUGUUCGCGUCUUUGCCUCCAUGGAAAAUCGUCUUUGGGGUUUUGAAGGUGAGAUUUACAUCUCGCUAAUUUCUGAUGGAUUCUACUUGAUUGAAGUCCCCUCGGUCCAUCUUUGUGAAUGGAUUCGUGGAAGAGCUUGGCAUAUCCAUCAUUCACCUAUGGUUUUGCGUAAAUGGCAGCCUGGUAUCCAGCCUUUGGACCUGACAGUUCGUGCCUCCCCCUGUGUGGGGCACUUUGAGGCAAGUCCCUCCCCAACUCAUGACGAAUGAUGGUAUCGGCUGGAUUGUCAGCCGAUUUGGUAAGGUUCUCAACAAUUCUGUGAAACUUUGCCUUUUUAAAAAAAGGAUUUUGUGUGCCCUGGAGUUAUAUAAUUUCGUAUGGAGGAUGAGAUUGUGCAUAUCAAAGUUGAGACUCCACAAGUCAAGAAGAUGGAAACUGUUACUGCACCAGUGCAAGCUCGGAGGGAAAAGCAAAAGUCCCAGCCGACGUCUAAGGUGGAGGUUAGUAGGUGAGGAGGCUCCACCUCCAACUACUAAUUUCGGGAGUGUUUGAGAUGGUUGAGAUGGAGGAGUGGACACAACAACUAAAACUCGACAGGAGGCUUUUGUUGAGACCUCUCUUGAGGUGGAGACAGGCCCCUGAAGCCUAAGAGCACUGAGUGUGUGGAAAAGCUUGCACAACACUUAGCUCGUUUGGUUGGAAUCAAAGGGGUUUCAAUUCCCCUUCUAAGCACCUUUACCUUUACUCUUAUGUUAGAAAAUACAAUAUAUAUGUUUUUGAUAUUUUAAAAACUAGAGUUAAAGAAAGAAAAGCAAAUACUAUCGUUAGACACCACUUUUGGCAGUUGGAAGCACUUUACAAAUUAUUGUAGCAAUCCUUUUGGGAAAUUUUGGUUAAUAUGGAAAUCGAGUGUCCCUCUCACUGUGAUUGAUUAGUCAGCACAGUUUGUUUUGGCUCUUAUUGAUGGGGCUUCUCCCAUGUAUAUCUGUGUGGUCUAUGGAGCGAAUAUUCAAAGAGAAUGCAAUCAAAUGUACGAG
rnacentral:lncRNA from 1 species